CGGAGUGGCGGACGGGUGAGUAAUGUCUGGGAAACUGCCUGAUGGAGGGGGAUAACUACUGGAAACGGUAGCUAAUACCGCAUAACGUCGCAAGACCAAAGAGGGGACCGUUCGGGCCUCUUACCAUCAGAUGUGCCCAGAUGGGAUUAGCUAGUAGGUGGGGUAACGGCUCACCUAGGCGACGAUCCCUAGCUGGUCUGAGAGGAUGACCAGCCACACUGGAACUGAGACACGGUCCAGACUCCUACGGGAGGCAGCUG
rnacentral:rRNA from 1 species